rnacentral:rRNA from 1 species
UACAGAGGGUGCAAGCGUUAAUCGGAGUUACUGGGCGUAAAGGGCGCGUAGGUGGAUAUCUAAGUCGGAUGUGAAAUCCCCGGGCUUAACCUGGGAAUUGCAUUCGAUACUGGGUAUCUCGAGUAUGGUAGAGGAAAGCGGAAUUCCCGGUGUAGCGGUGAAAUGCGUAGAUAUCGGGAAGAACAUCAGGGCGAAGGCGGCUUUCUGGCCCAAUACUGACACUGAGGCGCGAAAGCGUGGGGAGCAAACAGG